CGCACGGGUGCGUAACGCGUAUGCAACCUACCUGUAACAGGGGAUGACACUGAGAAAUCGGUACUAAUACCGCAUAACACUAUGAGAGGCAUCUCUUGUGGUUGAAAGUUUCGGCGGUUACAGAUGGGCAUGCGUUGUAUUAGCUGGUUGGUAAGGUAACGGCUUACCAAGGCGACGAUACAUAGGGGGACUGAGAGGUUAACCCCCCACAUUGGUACUGAGACACGGACCAAACUCCUACGGAAGGCAGCAG
rnacentral:rRNA from 1 species